AGGAAAAGUAGUUUGUAGAGGUAGGAGAGCCACUUCUAUUCUCUUCUCCUUCAGUACAAAGAGCCAUUAGGAAAUGGAAGUAUGAAGAGGCAUUUGGAGAUGGAACGUAAGAAACUUUCUCCUCUCCUUGAGUAACAAGAGCCAUUUGUAGCUGAAAGUUCAGUGAAUUAAUACCUAAAGUGGAUACACAGCUGUUCAUCUUUGCAAGUGCACAAGUAUGAUGGCAUAGAACCUACAGUAUAUAUCAUGCCCAGCCCAGGUCAUCAGGAUAUCUAUUCACCUUAUUUUUUUUUUCCAAAUGAGAUGCUUCUACUGAAUAUAGAUGGCUCAGGGUUGAGAUUGGACUUUUUUCACCUUCCAGAUGAAUCAGUUGCUUCUCCAUGCAUGCCCAAGCCACUGCCUGCUUGUCCCUCAGCAGGCAUUUCCAAAUGAAAUGAAAGAAACAGACACCAGGGAAUCAAAGGUUGAUGAGCCUUUUGUUUAGCCUGAGAACCAUUACUGAGUUUCUCUUCUGUUGGUUCCUGCUCAGUCUGCCUUAGUGCUGUUUCAGCUGGUGAAUAAUGACUCAUUUAUGAAUAAUAGCCUUGCUCAUCUUCAGAACAACUGUUAG